rfam:Bacillus badius strain MTCC 1458 Contig9, whole genome shotgun sequence.
UGGUGAUGUCUCCUGACCGUUAUCAACGGAGGCACUCGGCUGUACUGUGGGCUUGGGUGAUCCCGGGCCUUAGACGCGAGUCGUCAGUGGUGCAGUGUGAGGGUGGGUUAGAUGCCCG